CUGUGCAAAGGUAGCAAAAUAAUUUGUCUCCUAAUUAGAGACUAGAAUGAACGGUCUGCGAGGAAAAAUUAUUUCAAAACUAAAUUUUAAACUGACAUCUAAGUAAAAAGGCUUAAAUAACCCAGCAAGACGACAAGACCCUAUAAAACUUUACCUUUUAUUUAAUUAAAUUCUGAGAAGUAUAAUUUUAAAGGUUUAACUGGGGCGGUAUUUAUAUAAUUAUAAACUAUACAAACUUCACCAUAUAUAAAUGAAUAAAUAAAUCUCUUAUAAGACAUAAUAAAAGUUACUUUAGGGAUAACAGCAUAUACUCUUAGAGAGCCCAAAUCGACAAGAGUGAUUAUGACCUCGAUGUUG
rnacentral:rRNA from 1 species